rnacentral:lncRNA from 1 species
CAUGUAGAGAAAAACUAAAGAAACAACCCAACCCAACCCAAUCGGAGCAUCCAAGGAACUGGAUUUUCCACCAGAGCUGUAGCUACCGCCAACUGGCCCAACUCCUAUCCAAGCCUUUAACAAUUGCCGCACUAAGAAAGGGCAGAAUCCCCCUUUCCACUAUCAGAUCUCAUCGGAAAAAAACUAACAGUAAUUGUAUGCAACGGCAAGGUUAGGCUUCGAGUUUCUAUACUUUAAACAAAUUGCAUACAGACUCUUCGACGGCGAGCUGAUACAGCUUGAGAGAAGCCACUCAUCGAAAGGAAUGACCAUCAAUUGCUCAGAGAUUCCACCACCCAUGCAUGCAAGAAAACUUCAAGAAACUCCUCCUACAAAUUGACAGAAGCCCCUCAACUUAAAAAGUAACCGGACGAAGAUAUAAGAUCUGUUGCAGUGCAGCCAAAACUAAGAAAUAAAAAUGGAAAAGAAAACAGGUUUCCCUGUCGAGUGGGCAAGGGAAGCUCAUCCCUUCUCUUUACUUUCUAAAAAAAUCAAAUAGAAUCGAAAAACAAGAGUAUGAAAGAGAAGAAAAAGAAAAAAAAGUAUUUUUAUAUUCAUCCGAGAAACUGGAGGGAGAAGUUCAAGAGAGUCAAAGUGGUUUGUUCUUUCAUUAUUCCCAUGGUAGAUCUAAAAUUA